ACCCUUAGAUGUUCUGGGCCGCACGCGCGCUACACUGACGAUGGCAACGAGUUUUUCCUUCGCCGAAAGGUGUGGGUAAUCUUUUGAAACAUCGCCGUGCUGGGGAUAGAUCAUUGCAAUUUUUGAUCUUGAACGAGGAAUUCCUAGUAAGCGCGAGUCAUCAGCUCGCGUUGAUUACGUCCCUGCCCUUUGUACACACCGCCCGUCGCUACUACCGAUUGAAUGGUUUAGUGAGGACUCCUGAUUGGCGCCGCCGCCCCGGCAACGGAGCAGCGGACUGCCGAAAAGUUGUUCAAACUUGAUCAUUUAGAGGAAGUAAAAGUCGUAACA
rnacentral:rRNA from 1 species